rnacentral:rRNA from 1 species
GAUGAACGCUGGCGGCGUGCCUAAUACAUGCAAGUCGAGCGAACAGACGAGGAGCUUGCUCCUCUGACGUUAGCGGCGGACGGGUGAGUAACACGUGGAUAACCUACCUAUAAGACUGGGAUAACUUCGGGAAACCGGAGCUAAUACCGGAUAAUAUAUUGAACCGCAUGGUUCAAUAGUGAAAGACGGUUUUGCUGUCACUUAUAGAUGGAUCCGCGCCGCAUUAGCUAGUUGGUAAGGUAACGGCUUACCAAGGCAACGAUGCGUAGCCGACCUGAGAGGGUGAUCGGCCACACUGGAGCGUGGACACGCUCCAGACUCCUACGGGAGGGAGCAGUAGGGAAUCUUCCGCAAUGGGCGAAAGCCUGACGGAGCAACGCCGCGUGAGUGAUGAAGGUCUUCGGAUCGUAAAACUCUGUUAUUAGGGAAGAACAAAUGUGUAAGUAACUAUGCACGUCUUGACGGUACCUAAUCAGAAAGCCACGGCUAACUACGUG